rnacentral:rRNA from 1 species
AGUUCGGAUUGUAGUCUGCAACCCGACUACAUGAAGCCGGAAUCGCUAGUAAUCGCGGAUCAGCAUGCCGCGGUGAAUACGUUCCCGGGUCUUGUACACACCGCCCGUCACACCAUGGGAGUCGGAAAUGCCCGAAGUCGGUGACCUAACCGGGAAGGGAGGAGCCGCCGAAGGCAGGUCUGAUGACUGGGGUGAAGUCGUAACAAGGUACC